rnacentral:rRNA from 1 species
GUGGGGAAUAUUGCGCAAUGGACGAAAGUCUGACGCAGCAACGCCGCGUGAGUGAUGAAGGUCUUCGGAUCGUAAAGCUCUGUCGGCAGGAACGAUGUUUUUGAGGACUAAUAAUUCUCAGAAUUGACGGUACCUGCAAAGGAAGCACCGGCUAACUCUGUGCCAGCAGCCGCGGUAAUACAGAGGGUGCAAGCGUUGUUCGGAAUCAUUGGGCGUAAAGGGCGCGUAGGCGGUUGACUAAGUUGAAUUGGAAAGCCCGGGGCUCAACCUCGGAAGUGCAUUCAAAACUAGUUAACUAGAGUUCCGCAGAGGAUGGUAGAAUUCCCAGUGUAGAGGUGAAAUUCGUAGAUAUUGGGAGGAAUACCAGUGGCGAAGGCGACCAUCUGGACGGAUACUGACGCUGAGGCGCGAAAGCGUGGGUAGCAAACAGG